rnacentral:misc_RNA from 1 species
UACUCCGGGCUGGACGACGAGU